rnacentral:rRNA from 1 species
GAAACUUAAAGGAAUUGACGGGACCGCACAAGCAGCGGAGCGUGUGGUUUAAUUCGUUGCUACACGAAGAACCUUACCUGGGUUUGACAUAUAGGUUGUAGGGAACUGAAAAGGGACCGACCUUCGGGGAGCCUAUACAGGUGUUGCAUGGCUGUCGUCAGCUCGUGUCGUGAGAUGUUCGAUUAAGUCCGCUAACGAGCGCAACCCUCGUCGUAUGUUAUAUGUGUCAUACGAGACUGCCGGUAAAAAGCCGGAGGAAGGUGAGGAUGAUGUCAAGUCAGCAUGACCUUUAUAUCCAGGGCUACACACACGCUACAAUGGUCUGUACAAUGGGUAGCCAAGCCGCGAGGCGGAGCCAAUCCUGAAAGCAGGCCUCAGUUCAGAUUGCAGUCUGCAACUCGACUGCAUGAAGCCGGAGUUGCUAGUAACCGCAGGUCAGCAAUACUGCGGUAAAUACGUUCCCGGGUCUUGU